AGCCUCGCGCCCUCGCCUCUCCUUCCUCCUUCCUCGCGUUUCUCUUUCGGUCUCUCAUGCAUGGCUCUCUGUCUCUUCCAACGCAGGACGCCCGCCAUGGACAGCGUCUCCCCAGCAGCUCGCGUUGCCGUCCUCCGUCGCUUGCUCCGCCCCAAGUCUUCGUCACCUCCAUGCCGAGCAGCAGCUCGCCGGAGCACGAGCGCCACCCGGUCCGCCUCCCUCUGCCCGUCCCUCUCCUU
rnacentral:rRNA from 1 species